GACGACCGCUGGCGGCGUGCUUAACACAUGCAAGUCGAGCGGAGCGGCGAACGGGUGAGUAACGCGUGAGUAACUGCCCCCCUCUCUGGGAUAACAGUUGGAAACGGCUGCUAAUACAGGAUAGUGGGGGAUGACUCGCGUCCUAUCAGCUCGUUGGUGGGGUAGUGGCCUACAAAGGCGACGACGGGUAGCCGGCCUGAGAGGGCUACCGGCCAAAUUGGGCUGAGAUGCGGCCCGAACGCGUACGGGAGGCAGCAGGGGGGAAUAGUGCACAAUGGGGGAAACCCUGAUGCAGCAACGCCGCGUGCGGGAUGACGGCAUUCGGGUUGUAAACCGCUUUCAGCCAGGACGCGGUGGUGGCAGAAGAAGCACCGGCUAACUACGUGCCAGCAGCCGCGGUAAUAC
rnacentral:rRNA from 1 species